AUGGAGACAAGCAACAUCAUGAUGCUGCUAUAUCUUAGUGGUCUUUAUUUCACAAAUAGUGAUCUGCUUCUUAUCUGCUCUAGAAUCCCUAGGUCUGAAGUUAGUCCUGUCUUACAACUGAGCAAUAUGCAGAGCCUCUGGUACGCGCAGCCAUGCUCUAUCGCCGCCACCUGCUACUUCAAGUCCGUCAACGGCCUCGCCGGAAACUGGGGCUUAUCCAUAGUCCGACUCAAUCUCUGUGUCGCCCUCCUCGCCGCCCGCUGCCUUGCCGUGAAGCCCUCUGCUGCAGCCUCUUACUUCACUGUCGACGACACUAUGCUCCAACCCAUCUCUGUCCAGAUUACCUCCUACACCGCAAAUUCCACUGGCCAUGUGCUUGCUCUUUACAGGAACGAUCACUACGUAAGCGAGCUACCACUUGAUAUUGUUCAAAGAAUGAAAAUGUUUAGUCCAUCAAGUAGUAGUUUCAGUAGCUCAGGGAGCACCUCCUCGCUGCGAACCCCUUCAUCGUCAAGCUUGUCGUGGACUCUAAUGAUUUUGGAUUACUACUCUCAAGGGAUUUGGCCUACUUUAUGGUCAUUGAUUAACAAGGUUCUCAGUUGUACAUGCAUGUGUGGCAGCAUAAAAAGAAAGAAGCAGCCGAAGGGGCGCCUCCCACCUGACACCGCCCAGCUUCCUCCUAAGCGGCGCCACCAGGUGGCGCCCCAAUCACUAGUUUGCUUCAUGAGUGGCUGCCAAGUGGGCCUCAUUAGCCAUGGUCUAGUGAAUCAUUUGCUUUUUACCGUCACUGAGCGCAUCAAUUCGCGCCGCCGUCUGUCCAGUCUGCCGCUCUCUCAUUUUUUUCCUCUCUCAGAUCGAGGGUGGCCGGUGCAGCUUCAUCUUCUCGCCUUUAAUCCCCAUGCCUUUGUGCCUUCCAUCCAUGACUGCUUCCAUCUCCAUACGCCGCUGCCCUCCCCUUACCUCCUCCGCAAGAUUGACGAGGUGCAUGUUGACGAGGGCAGAGCAGAGUCGCCAGAUUCGUCACUGCCGCGGUUCUCAAGCUUGUCGCCGCUGUCGAGGUCCGGCAUGACCUGGCCUUUGGUGGAGGCUCCAUCCACUCAUCUCCUCCACCUUGCAACCUGUCACGUCCUAGGGGCGGCGAGGUUCGCCGGAGUUGUGAUCGGAGGUGGAGGAGAAGACCUAGAUCGGAAGAGCGAGGUAGGAAGGUAG
rnacentral:rRNA from 1 species